CCCAAACACUACCCACUAGGCCUGCCUUCAACAUUGGAAGUCACAUUUCAACAUGAGAUUUGGAGGGGACAAAACACCCAAACCAUUUUUUUACAACUUUG